GUGUACUAUUUGGUUCUUGUGAGCUCAUUUUUCUCGGAACAAAAUUAGGGCACACCAAAACACCAGUUUGACAGAUAUAGAUAUUCCGAUGAUGAGGAGAAUUUGUGUGCGGAAAUGCAAUGUUACUCUCUUCCAUCAAAUGGUCAAAGAUGCUGUUGAAUUGUUCAAAAAAUUGGUGAGAGACAAGAUAUGUGAAUCCUUCCGUCCUUGACAUGAUACAACAGCUUCAAUUGAAAAAUAAAAUAAGCUGAUGGCAAUUGGAACGUUGCUCGAGUUUGGUCCUGCAAAGGGCCUAUUCGAUUGGGAUUUUGAAGAUAUAAUUGAAUUGCUGCUGAAAUUGGAGGCUCUCUCUCCAUGAUCAAGUUGCUGACUUACUGUGGUGGAAGUUUCAGCAAGGCAGUUAAUUUCCUUGGGAGGCAUUCAAAAUGACUGACUGUUGAGAAUAUUUUGGAAGACAAUUGUAGCUCCAAGAGCUACCUGGUUCACUAGGCUUGUUUAACCCAUGACAACUUGCAAAAAGAGGAAUCGUUUUAUACAGCAGAUGCUUUUUGUUAAAGUAUUGAUGAAUUUAUAAAUCAUCCACUGCUUCACUAGACUGAUCUGGACAAUGUUUCUUGCUAUUUUUGGUGUCCAGUGGGUCAUGCCUGGAUGCAUUGAACUUGCACUGACCAGCUGGUGCGAGCAGUCCUCAUCAAGGGGCAACAAGCACCACACAACUUCUAUUCCUUCCUGCCUUUUCUGGUCUAUUUGUGUGGAGAGGAAAGAUAGACGUCUCAAUGACAUGAUAAACAACAUAAAGCAGGUCAAUAGAUGUUUAAAAAUCAUGUACCUAUGAUUCAGGAAGAAGCUUGUUCAGGUUAAUGGCUUAUAUGGGAUUUCGCUACAAAAAUGCUCACUUUUGUGUAUAGGAAUUCAAGAAAUGAUUUUUCACUGUUGAGAGCCAGUUCUGCUUUUCCUUUAUUACACUCUGGAACUGUUUCUCUAUUUAUCCAAGGAUGUUAGCUAGGUUUGAUUGCUGAAGAAUGAAAAUAAAGCAUGUUCUAAUAGACCGGAACAGGCUUGACAUGUAAGAUUGUUGAAAGAAAAUGAAAUGAGAUCCAUGAUUUUCAGGAGAGAAUGGCCAUUACGGAAGAUUCCUUCAUGUGACUGACAUUUAGACAACCUCUGGCCUUAUAUUUUCUGAUGGUUUCUACGAAAGGAGGAUAGAGAAGGACAAUUUCAACAAAAACUAAAAACUUAAAAGAUGGAAGAACAAGCAUUCUUACUGCUACAUGUCUAAUGGGUGGUUGCUGCACUUACUAGAUUUCUUCUGUUAAUAUUGACAUAAUCUUUCUUGUUAUGUCACUCACUUUGUUAGUAUUAGAGGUUAGGGUUUUAGUAAAUU